rnacentral:misc_RNA from 1 species
GAUGAAGAACGUAGCGAAAUGCGAUAAGUAGUGUGAAUUGCAGAAUUCAGUGAAUCAUCGAAUCUUUGAACGCACAUUGCGCCCCUUGGUAUUCCAUGGGGCAUGCCUGUUCGAGCGUCAUUUGUACCUUCAAGCUCUGCUUGGUGUUGGGUGUUUGUCCUUGCUCUAGUGGCGGGACCCGCCUUAAAGUAAUUGGCAGCCAGUGUUUUGGUUUUGAAGCGCAGCACAAGUCGCGAUUCAAGUCUAUACACUAGUUUCCACAAGUCUUUUAUCACUUUUGACCUCGGAUCAGGUAGGGAUACCCGCUGAACUUAAGCAUAUCAAUAAGCGGAGGA